rnacentral:misc_RNA from 1 species
AGCAGCCGCGGUAAUUCCAGCUCCAAUAGCGUAUAUUAAAGUUGUUGCAGUUAAAAAGCUCGUAGUUGAAUUUCGAGAUCAAAUUGUUGGUCGUGCCUUGGUACGCACUGGCAUUAUUGGUUUCUCCCUUCUGACGAACCAUGAUGUCAUUAAUUUGGUGUCUUGGGGAAUCAGGACUGUUACUUUGAAAAAUUGAGUGUUUAAAGCAGGCUCACGCUUGAAUACAUUAGCAUGGAAUAAUGAAAUAGGACGUUUGAUUCUAUUUUGUUGGUUUCUAGGAUCGACGUAAUGAUUAAUAGGGAUAGUUGGGGGCAUUAGUAUUCAAUUGUCAGAGGUGAAAUUCUUGGAUUUAUUGAAGACUAACUACUGCGAAAGCAUUUGCCAAGGAUGUUUUCAUUAAUCAAGAACGAAAGUUAGGGGAUCGAAGACGAUCAGAUACCGUCGUAGUCUUAACCAUAAACUAUGCCGACUAGGGAUCGGAUGAUGUUAAUUUUUAAUGUACUCAUUCGG